rnacentral:tmRNA from 1 species
GGGGACGUAAAGGUUUCGACAGGCAUAGGGAAGGGGGAUAAGCGAGCCGCAGUUUGUCCGGUCUGCGUUAAAAAGGACACGUUAAAGAUAAACGCAAAAACUAAGAACAACUUCGCACUGGCGGCUUAGUUCCGCCCCGCGCGCUGCCUGAGGUGAACCAGCAGGCCUCAGUACCAGCGUCAGAUACUGCUGGAAAACUCUGUGUGAGUUCCCGGUAGCACAGGGGACCUACGGGAUAGCCGAUCCGAAAGCCUGCCUUUGGGCGUCCGGUGAAGCGAAAUCCUAAACCAAAGGCUGCGCUCGGAGAAACUCCUCCGGAUAGAUGUUUGGACAUGGGUUCAAUUCCCAUCGUCUCCACCA